rnacentral:lncRNA from 1 species
AUCACCUAUUUGCUUCAAGCCCAAAUGUCCAAACCCCUGCUUAAGGCUGAACACUCAACCCCCCACUCAGGGUUGAACACUUAACCCCCCUUGGGCCAACAAGGCAGCUUGUAGAUCCAGAGACCCCAUUAGAUUUGGGCUAUAAAAACUCCCUGUGCCUGUUCCUUCCCCCUAUCAUAAAGUUCAUUCAGACUCAGGUGGGUAAAAUUUCUAAUUAAGCUUUUAACCAGAUUCUCCUCAGGAUUACCAACUCCUGGCUACUGAAGAUACCUCCAGUCGAGACCUAUGCCAAAUGGACUGAUGUCAUCAUGGAUCUGUGGUAGCAAAGAACCUUCAUUGAUACCGGUCUUCUCUGCCCUCCUGUGGGGGCUCCUUACUUCUCUCCUCUUUCUGCCACACUGCCCCAUUUCAGCAGGAAGCAGCCAGAAUGAGUCGAUGCCCAUUCUCAUUUAAUAACAAAGAGGGGGGAAUGCUGGGAGUCGCCCUGGCUCCAAAGACUAACUUCCCCAUCCCCCAAGAAGAGCCAUCCAAUGGUGAGCCCUGAUGGCUCACAUGAUCCUUUCCCACCAAUCAGAGCCCUGCUGGCUCACAUGAUCCUACCCACCAAUCAGACUAGCCCUGCUGGCUUACCUGAUCCUUACCCUCCAAUCAAAAAGCAUCCCAUGCCAACUGACAAACCACC